GAGAUCCAUGUCAAUGGUUCCUGUAGCAUGGUCAGUUGCAGACUGCUGCAAUGCAACUUCUAGAAGUCGAAAAGCCUCCACUACAUCUCUUUUCUCCACCUUUUCUGAAAAACGCAUCCGAGCAAGACCUUCACCUAGACGUAUCAAACUCUCUAGCUGCCUUGGUGUAGCUGUAAUCACCUUUUUACUGCUACCGGGGAAAUUCCCUUUUCUUCUCAUCUCCACAUAACCUCUAGUCAAUUCUUCAGCUGCUUCAUCAGAUAAUUGUG
rnacentral:misc_RNA from 1 species